rnacentral:rRNA from 1 species
UACGUAGGGUGCGAGCGUUAAUCGGAAUUACUGGGCGUAAAGCGUGCGCAGGCGGUCUGUUAAGACAGAUGUGAAAUCCCCGGGCUUAACCUGGGAACUGCAUUUGUGACUGGCAGGCUAGAGUAUGGCAGAGGGGGGUAGAAGUUCCACGUGUAGCAGUGAAAUGCGUAGAGAUGUGGAGGAAUACCGAUGGCGAAGGCAGCCCCCUGGGCCAAUACUGACGC